rnacentral:lncRNA from 1 species
GAGAAAACAGUUUCAUUUUAAAUUAUAUAUACCAAUAAACUGAGAGUAACAAACACAUGCACUCUCAAAUGUUCUAUAACAUUAUUACAUCAAAUGCAGAGUUCAGUUAAAGUUUGGAGAUCAGCAUUUUGUAAUAACAGCAGUUUUCAAUCAGUUAAGAAUAUCUAAGUUGCUCUUCUGCUGAAUUAAACAGGUACAGCAUAUGUCGGUAAGUGAUAUAAGGUAAGCAGUGCUACCAAAAUGCCUUGUUUCUCUAAAAGUCAGAUCUGAAAACAUAAGGACCAAAUGGACAAACAGCAGUGAGAAUAUUUCAGCAAUUUUAUCUUCAUUUAUAAAAGAAAGCACUUUUUACUUCCCGAGAGCCCUACCUCACAACUUCCUAUGUCUAAGCUCCACCUACUGGGAUCUCUGGUUUGUGACAAUGCUGUAGUUGGCAGCCCUCUGUGUAGGCUUUGAAAUGUAUCUGCACUGCUGAACUUUAGAUUUCACUGGUAAUUUUCUGUCACAAUUUUCAUUGAUAGCCUUUUUUUUUUUUACCCUUUAGGCAAAUACAACAAAUGUCUGAAAAUCAUGCUUUGGUAAAAGUAUUGGAGGACUUAACUGUGUUUAUCAAAUUGCUAAGCAGCUCUAAAGCUGGCAAAGGACAAGCCUUCAACAUGAAAGGGUGCAGGGCUCCCACUAGAAGAGGAAAGAAAGCAUGGAUUCUUCUCCAGAAAUGCUCCUUUAAUAAUUAACUUUGGAGACAGAGUUGAAGCCACAAGCAAAUGGCAAUGAAGCCAAUGGUCCAAGACACCAGAAAAAUUUUCGGUGGCAAAACACCAAGUACAGGCAAGGAAUUCAAAGU